rnacentral:rRNA from 1 species
GAUGAACGCUGACAGAAUGCUUAACACAUGCAAGUCUUUGGCGAAGCUGUGCUUGCACAGCCUAGCCAAGGCGGACGGGUGAGUAACGCGUAAGGAACUUGCCCUGCAGUCAGGGAUAACAGACGGAAACGACUGAUAAAACCUGAUAAAGUCAGACGGACUCAUGUCCAGUCUGAUGAAAAGAAAUGCUGCAGGAGAGCCUUGCGUCCUAUUAGCUUGUUGGUGGGGUAACGGCCCACCAAGGCGAUGAUAGGUAGCCGGCCUGAGAGGGUGGACGGCCACAAGGGGACUGAGAUACGGCCCUUACUCCUACGGGAGGCAGCAGUGGGGAAUAUUGGACAAUGGGGGCAACCCUGAUCCAGCAAUUCUGUGUGCACGAUGAAGGUUUUCGGAUUGUAAAGUGCUUUCAGCAGGGAAGAAAAAAAUGACGGUACCUGCAGAAGAAGCGACGGCUAAAUACGUGCCAGCAGCCGCGGUAAUACGUAUGUCGCAAGCGUUAUCCGGAAUUAUUGGGCAUAAAGGGCAUCUAGGCGGCCAGAUAAGUCUGGGGUGAAAACUUGCGGCUCAACCGCAAGCCUGCCCUGGAAACUAUGUGGCUAGAGUGCUGGAGAGGUGGACGGAACUGCACGAGUAGAGGUGAAAUUCGUAGAUAUGUGCAGGAAUGCCGAUGAUGAAGAUAGCUCACUGGACGGUAACUGACGCUGAAGUGCGAAAGCUAGGGGAGCAAACAGG